CCAUCUGUACUGGGCUGUGGUCUCGACACCUCCUGGCAAUGUUCAACUUGUGGUGGACAAAUGGACAUCAGUUAUGGAUCACAUCCACAACAGGCAUACCGGGUUCGAGGGACUGUUCUCUUCUUGUGCACACGGAGUCUCGGAAGGCAGGGAACAGCGUAAACCAUGGCUGAAAUAUCAUACAAAGGUGUCUUUUGAGGUUGAGAAGAUCAUCCGGAACAAGAGGCUGUGUGCAGAUGUACAACGCCUGUCCCCGUCACACCAGACAUCCUACGUAGAAGCAUUCCAAAGCCUGAUUACACACUUUGCGCCUAAGAUGUGCCACUUUUCAUAGGGAUGGAGAGCAGGCUAUGCUGAAGAGCUGAUGCGGAUGUUGGAGGCCAUGUGUCGAGGUGAAUACUACAGCUGUGAUGACUUUGACAUUCCAGACCCAUCCCCUGUUCCAGAGCCACUGAGUGCAUCAUGUGAAAAGCCGGAUAAGAGGGCAGCAGUCAGUACACACACAACCCGCUUUAGCACCACAAACAACCCUUCAAUAUAGACAUUACCAAAAGUUUGAUGCAGGUAAUUCCAAAACCACAGUACAGGGUGUGUUGGAAGGACACUUUUUUUC